rnacentral:rRNA from 1 species
GAUGAACGCUAGGGGCAUGCUUAACACAUGCAAGUCGAACGGUUUCUCCAUUUGUGGGGAGAGAGUGGCGGACGGGUGAGGAACACGUAAGAACUUACCCUUGGGAGGGGAAUAACUGCUAGAAAUGGUAGGUAAUACCCCAUAUGCUGAGAAGUAAAAAGGGAUUGGUUUCCCGCCUGUGGAUGGGCUUGCGCCUGAUUAGCUAGUUGGUGGAGUAAAGGUUUACCAAGGCAACUAUCAGUAGCUGGUCUGAGAGGAUGAUCAGCUACACUGGAACUGAGACACGGUCCAGACUCCUACGGGAGGCAGCAGUGGGGAAUAUUGGACAAUGGGGGGAACCCUGAUCCAGCAAUGCCGCGUGUGAAGAAGGCCUGAGGGUUGUAAAGCACUUUCAGUGGGGAGGAGGGUUGAUAGGUUAAGAGCUGAUUAACUGGACGUUACCCACAGAAGAAGCACCGGCUAACUCUGUGCCAGCCGCCGCAGUAAAAC